rnacentral:rRNA from 1 species
AUUGAACGCUGGCGGCAUGCCCUACACAUGCAAGUCGAACGGUAACAGGUCUUCGGAUGCUGACGAGUGGCGAACGGGUGAGUAAUACAUCGGAACGUGCCUAGUAGUGGGGGAUAACUACUCGAAAGAGUGGCUAAUACCGCAUGAGAUCUACGGAUGAAAGCAGGGGAUCGCAAGACCUUGUGCUACUAGAGCGGCCGAUGGCAGAUUAGGUAGUUGGUGGGAUAAAAGCUUACCAAGCCGACGCUCUGUAGCUGGUCUGAGAGGACGAUCAGCCACACUGGGACUGAGACACGGCCCAGACUCCUACGGGAGGCAGCAGUGGGGAAUUUUGGACAAUGGGCGCAAGCCUGAUCCAGCAAUGCCGCGUGCAGGAUGAAGGCCUUCGGGUUGUAAACUGCUUUUGUACGGAACGAAAAGCCCCGUGUUAAUACCCUGGGGUCAUGACGGUACCGUAAGAAUAAGCACCGGCUAACUACGUGCCAGCCGCCGCGGUAA